GGGAAAAGCUCAAAUUUAAAAUCUGGCAGUCUUUGGCUGUCCGAGUUGUAAUUUAGAGAAGUGUUACCCGUGCUGGACCGUGCACAAGUCUCCUGGAAUGGAGCGUCAUAGAGGGUGAGAAUCCCGUCUUUGGCACGGACUCCCGGUGCUUUGCGAUGCGCUCUCGAC
rnacentral:rRNA from 1 species